UUAAACGGCCGCGGUAUUUUGACCGUGCAAAGGUAGCGCAAUCACUUGUCUUUUAAAUGAAGACCUGUAUGAAUGGUGGAACGAGGGCUUAACUGUCUCCCUUUUCAAGUCAAUGAAAUUGAUCUGCCCGUGCAGAAGCGGGCAUAAACCUACAAGACGAGAAGACCCUUUGGAGCUUAAGAUACAAAGUCAACUAUGUCAAGAGCCCUAAAUCAGGACUAACCUAAUAGAACUGACCCCUAUCUUCGGUUGGGGCGACCGCGGGAGAAAACAAAGCUCCCACGCGGACUGGGUUAUUACCUAAAACUAAGAGAGACAUCUCUAAGUCGCAGAACAUCUGACCAUAAAGAUCCGGCAAUGCGCCGAUCAACGGACCAAGUUACCCCAGGGAUAACAGCGCAAUCCCCUUCCAGAGUCCAUAUCGACAAGGGGGUUUACGACCUCGAUGUGGGAUCAGGACAUCCUAAUGGUGCAGCCGCUAUUAAGGAUUCGUUGU
rnacentral:rRNA from 1 species